rnacentral:rRNA from 1 species
CCUAACACAUGCAAGUCGAACGGUAACAGGAAGAAGCUUGCUUCUUUGCUGACGAGUGGCGGACGGGUGAGUAAUGUCUGGGAAACUGCCUGAUGGAGGGGGAUAACUACUGGAAACGGUAGCUAAUACCGCAUAACGUCGCAAGACCAAAGAGGGGGACCUUCGGGCCUCUUGCCAUCGGAUGUGCCCAGAUGGGAUUAGCUAGUAGGUGGGGUAACGGCUCACCUAGGCGACGAUCCCUAGCUGGUCUGAGAGGAUGACCAGCCACACUGGAACUGAGACACGGUCCAGACUCCUACGGGAGGCAGCAGUGGGGAAUAUUGCACAAUGGGCGCAAGCCUGAUGCAGCCAUGCCGCGUGUAUGAAGAAGGCCUUCGGGUUGUAAAGUACUUUCAGCGGGG